AUUGAACGCUGGCGGCAGGCCUAACACAUGCAAGUCGAGCGGAUGAAGGGAGCUUGCUCCUGGAUUCAGCGGCGGACGGGUGAGUAAUGCCUAGGAAUCUGCCUGGUAGUGGGGGAUAACGUCCGGACACGGGCGCUAAUACAGCAUACGUCCUGAGGGAGAAAGUGGGGGAUCUUCGGACCUCACGCUAUCAGAUGAGCCUAGGUCGGAUUAGCUAGUUGGUGGGGUAAAGGCCUACCAAGGCGACGAUCCGUAACUGGUCUGAGAGGAUGAUCAGUCACACUGGAACUGAGACACGGUCCAGACUCCUACGGGAGGCAGCAGUGGGGAAUAUUGGACAAUGGGCGAAAGCCUGAUCCAGCCAUGCCGCGUGUGUGAAGAAGGUCUUCGGAUUGUAAAGCACUUUAAGUUGGGAGGAAGGGCAGUAAGUUAAUACCUUGCUGUUUUGACGUUACCAACAGAAUAAGCACCGGCUAACUUCGUG
rnacentral:rRNA from 1 species